rnacentral:rRNA from 1 species
UACGUAGGGUGCAAGCGUUAAUCGGAAUUACUGGGCGUAAAGCGUGCGCAGGCGGUUUUGUAAGCCAGAUGUGAAAUCCCCGGGCUCAACCUGGGAAUGGCAUUUGGGACUGCAAGGCUGGAGUACGGCAGAGGAGACUGGAAUUCCUGGUGUAGCAGUGAAAUGCGUAGAUAUCGUUUGGAACGCCGAUGGUGAAAACAGGUCGCUGGGGCUGUGCUGACGCUGAGAUACGAAAGCCAGGGGAGCGAACGGG